rnacentral:rRNA from 1 species
CACGUAGGGGGCGAGCGUUGUCCGGAUUUAUUGGGCGUAAAGAGCUCGUAGGCGGCUUUGUCAGUCGGGUGUGAAACCUCCAGGCUCAACCUGGAGCCGCCACCCGAUACUGCAAUAGCUAGAGUCCGGUAGGGGAGCAUGGAACUCCUGGUGUAGCGGUGAAAUGCGCAGAUAUCAGGAAGAACACCAGUGGCGAAGGCGGUGCUCUGGGCCGGAACUGACGCUGAGGAGCGAAAGCGUGGGGGAGCGAACAGG